GCGUGCACUUAUAAUAUUUACAUCUAAUUCACAUCACUUGGUAUUAUAUACCAAUCCUCUUUUACUCAGCUAAUUUAAUAAUAUAUAUAUAUUAUAUUUUAAUGAAGAUGUCCAUCUUAAAUUGGCCUCAGUACCUUUUUGUUAUCUUUCGGUCAUAUUUAAUUUUUACUACAAAUUUUGUUUUUGCAUUUCAUGACGGAGGACCCAACAAAAUACAAAGUGGGAAUAGUUUCAAAACACCACAUCAUCAUAGUUGUACAAAAAAAAUAUUUGGCUAUAACAUAGAUAGGUCAUAUCUUAAUGAUGGUUAUAAUUAUAAAGGAUACAUCGUGAAUAUACUCGAUUCCAUCAGUAAUCAUAAAAAUGGAAAAAUACAGAAUGAGUAUACGUUUCCUGCAAGAUUCUUACUGGAAAAUAAAUAUUUAUUUAGAUCUCCAAAAAGUUU
rnacentral:lncRNA from 1 species